rnacentral:tRNA from 1 species
GCCUUCGUGGUGUAGUAGUCAGCACGCUCGGCGCGUAUUCGAGAGUUCCGUGGUUCGAGUCCGCCCGAGGUCA